UCUAAAACUCGAGACAUGGGCUGAACACUGAACAAUGUCUGGGCUGCAGGACAGAUUCAAACUUCUCUUUUGAUGCUAAGAUUUGGACUUCCAAAUGAUAGAAUUGAGUCUUAGACUCCUCAUGAAUGUUUUAGGCGUAUGUCUUAGCUUUCUAGC
rfam:Populus trichocarpa scaffold_5_contig_310, whole genome shotgun sequence.